rnacentral:sRNA from 1 species
UAAUGGUGUAAUAUUCCCAACAUAUCGU